CUUGGUCAUUUAGAGGAAGUAAAAGUCGUAACAAGGUCUCCGUUGGUGAACCAGCGGAGGGAUCAUUACAGAGUUGCAAAACUCCCAAACCAUUGUGAACGUUACCUAAACCGUUGCUUCGGCGGGCGGCCCGGGUCCUUCCCGGCGCCCCUCGGCCCUCGCGGGCGCCCGCCGGAGGAAAACCAAACUAUUGCAUUGUAUGGCCUCUCUGAGUCUUCUGUACUGAAUAAGUCAAAACUUUCAACAACGGAUCUCUUGGUUCUGGCAUCGAUGAAGAACGCAGCGAAAUGCGAUAAGUAAUGUGAAUUGCAGAAUUCAGUGAAUCAUCGAAUCUUUGAACGCACAUUGCGCCCGCCAGUAUUCUGGCGGGCAUGCCUGUUCGAGCGUCAUUUCAACCAUCAAGCCCCGGGCUUGUGUUGGGGACCUGCGGCUGCCGCAGGCCCUGAAAUGCAGUGGCGGGCUCGCUGUCACUCCGAGCGUAGUAGUUACAUCUCGCUCUGGGCGUGCUGCGGGUUCCGGCCGUUAAAAGCCUUAUUUACCCAAGGUUGACCUCGGAUCAGGUAGGAAGACCCGCUGAACUUAAGCAUAUCAAUAAGCGGAGGA
rnacentral:misc_RNA from 1 species